GACGAACGCUGGCGGCGUGCUUAACACAUGCAAGUCGAGCGGUAAGGCCCUUUCGGGGGUACACGAGCGGCGAACGGGUGAGUAACACGUGGGUGACCUGCCCUCAGCUCUGGGAUAAGCCUGGGAAACCGGGUCUAAUACUGGAUAUGACUCCAUGACGCAUGUUGUGGGGUGGAAAGCCUUGCGCGGCUGAGGAUGGGCCCGCGGCCUAUCAGCUUGUUGGUGGGGUGANGGCCUACCAAGGCGACGACGGGUAGCCGGCCUGAGAGGGCGACCGGCCACACUGGGACUGAGACACGGCCCAGACUCCUACGGGAGGCAGCAGUGGGGAAUCUUGCGCAAUGGGCGAAAGCCUGACGCAGCGACGCCGCGUGAGGGAUGACGGCCU
rnacentral:rRNA from 1 species